UUUCGUGUUCAAAUCAUUGGGAGUCGAUACAUACAGCGGUAGCGGCCUCGUGCCUUUUUAUCACCAUGAAUUUACUUCCUCGUCAUAUCUAGCUGGCUUGUGCAUGUAAACGCCAGUAACUAAGAUAAUAAAUCAACACCGUAAAUUUAGGAACAAUUAUGUUUGCUGCGAGAAAAAGUGAAGGUCUGGUCCGUCCCUGAUGCUACAUUCAGAUUUCAUGCAGUGGGCUGAAUGACAGAGCUUUAUCCUUUGGAAACCAAACAUAGUCAGAGAAAAUGAGAGGAUUAUCUUAACGACUUAAACAGGAGAAGAAGCAACUAUAAAAGAUGCCUGUCCAAAUUCGGAGAAGAAUGUGGUUGUUGAGAAUUAAACAAAACAUAGCACUGUCCUUGCACAAACAGUUGAUAUUGUUAGGACGACAAUAUCUCAGUUGUUUUCGCAAACAACACUUAGUAAACAACAUAUAUGAUAGAAAACAUUCAAAGCUAAGAAGUGUGAUCACAUUUGAUACCUCCUUCUAUAUGCCUGAAAUGAAUGUUAUGUAACUACAUUGUAUAUAUGAGUGGGUCAUCUUAAAAACAGCUAAGUU
rnacentral:sRNA from 1 species